rnacentral:rRNA from 1 species
AUACGGAGGGUGCGAGCGUUAAUCGGAAUUACUGGGCGUAAAGCGUACGUAGGUGGUUUGUUAAGUUAGAUGUGAAAGCCCCGGGCUCAACCUGGGAACUGCAUUUAAAACUGGCAGACUAGAGUUUGAUAGAGGAGAGUGGAAUUUCAGGUGUAGCGGUGAAAUGCGUAGAGAUCUGAAGGAACAUCAGUGGCGAAGGCGACUCUCUGGAUUAACACUGACGCUGAGGUACGAAAGCGUGGGUAGCAAACAGGAUUAGAAACCCUAGUAGUCC